AGAAGGUCCAACUCUUAAAGCCUUCAAGGUCAAGGUCCGGAAACCUGUAUCAAAAAAUUCAGAGGAGAGUUCGAAUGGAGGAGGGAUUUGAGUAACAACAAUCAACCGACUGGUUGUCAGAGUCUGGUACUGCAAGCUAUAACGCUAUUUUCUCAAAUACUAACGGGUAGAAAAGCACAGACUCGUUUCCUUUGAGCGCACAAGCACCAUGAGCAGCUCUACCAAAUCCAGAAACUUCCGCCGCCGAGGCGAUGACUAUGAUGAUAACAACGAUACUAGCACCAACAUUCACAGCUCCGUCCCUUCUUCCGCUGUCUCCCGUAAACCUUCUGCCUCUUCCUCUUCUUCCAAACCCAAGAAGCUCCUCAGCUUUGCCGACGACGAAGACGACGAUACCCCAUCUUCCCGCAUCUCCUCCUCCAAAUCUUCUGCUUCUCAGAAACCUUCUUCGCGCCUCACCAAACCCAGUUCUUCUCACAAGCUCACCGCCUCCAAGGACCGUCUACCUCCUACCCCAUCGUCUACCGCCUCCAAUGUGUUUCCCCAAGCAGGAACUUACACCAAAGAAGCCCUUCUUGAGCUCCAAAAGAACACCCGCACCCUCGCUAAACCCACGUCUUCCGCUUUGAAGACUCCUUCCUCAUCUACUUCUGAGCCCAAAAUCAUUCUCAAGGGCCUCCUCAAACCCGCCCAGGAAGACCCUGUCUCGCAAACCCUAAAACAAUCCCAACAAUUAGGCUCCGAGGAAGAAGACCAACAGCCAGAAGAUAGUAACAGGAAUGAUGCGGAAAAUCGAUUGGCAUCAUUGGGGUUGGGGAAGUCGAAGGAUUAUUCGUUGAUUCCAGACGAGGAGACUAUCAAGAAGAUCAGGGCAAAAAGGGAGCGGAUGAGGCAGUCGAGGGCAGCUGCUCCCGAUUAUAUAUCCUUGGAUGGAGGUUCUAACCAUGGAGCGGUAGAAGGCUUGAGCGAUGAGGAGCCUGAGUUUCGGACGCGGAUUGCCAUGAUUGGCAAGAAAGAGACCAGUAGCAGCAGUCACGGUGUGUUUGAGGAUUUUGACAAUGACGGUGAUGACAAUGGUCAUAUCAAAGCAAUGAUUGGUAUCACUGCUGCUAGAUAUCCCAAUAGUCAAGUCAUUGUGGAGGAUGGUACUGGUGGUGUCGACGAUGAGGAUGAGGAGGACAAGAUGUGGGAGGAAGAGCAAUUCAGGAAGGGUUUAGGGAAGAGAAUGGACGAUGGGUCUGGUACUAACAGGGUCUUCACUAGUGUUACUACUUCUGUGGUGCAAAAUCAGCAGCCACAACAGCAGCUGCAGAGACCGGUUAUGUAUGGUUCUGUUCCAAGCAUUGGAGGGGCAUCUGUAGCAUCUCAAGGUUUAGAUGCCUUGUCCAUACCGCAACAGGCUGAGAUUGCUACGAAAGCUUUGCAGGAUAAUAUCAGGAGGCUUAAGGAAUCUCAUAGUAGAACAGUUUCGUCACUGACAAAGACUGAUGAGAAUUUAUCUGCCUCAUUGAUGAAUAUUACUGCUCUUGAAAGAUCUCUAUCUGCUGCUGGUGAGAAGUUCAUCUUUAUGCAAAAGCUUCGUGACUUUGUUUCUGUUAUAUGUGAAUUUCUGCAGCAUAAAGCUCCUUACAUUGAGGAAUUGGAAGAACAGAUGCAGAAGCUUCAUGAACAGCGUGCUUCUGCAAUUGUAGAACGAAGAACUGCUGAUAAUGACGAUGAAAUGAUGGAGGUGGAAGCCGCUGUAAAGGCAGCGAUGUUGGUUUUCAGUGAACGGGGCAGUAGUGCAUCAUUUAUUGCUGCUGCUACAAGUGCAGCCCAAGCUGCAUCAGCUACCAUGAAAGAACAAGCUAAUCUUCCUGUGAAGUUGGAUGAAUUUGGUAGAGACAUCAACCAACAGAAACGUAUGGAUAUGAAGAGGAGGGCUGAGGCCCGUCACCGUAGGAAAGCUCGAUUUGAGUCAAAGAGAUUGUCUUCCAUGGAGGUAGAUGGUUCUGAUCAGAAAAUAGAGGGAGAAUCAAGCACAGAUGAGAGUGACAGUGAAAGUGCAGCUUACCAGUCAAACCGUGAUUUGUUGCUUCAGACUGCAGAUCAAAUAUUUGGUGAUGCUUCUGAAGAAUAUUCUCAACUGUCAGUUGUUAAAGAAAGGUUUGAAAGGUGGAAAAGAGAAUAUUCAACAAGCUAUCGAGAUGCAUACAUGUCACUAAGCGCACCUGCCAUCUUCUCUCCCUACGUGAGACUAGAACUUCUAAAAUGGGACCCUCUCCAUGAGGAUGCUGAUUUUUUUGAUAUGAAAUGGCAUUCCCUGCUGUUUAAUUAUGGUUUGCCAGAAGAUGGAAGUGAUCUAAGUCCUGAUGAUGCUGAUAGCAAUCUUGUUCCAGAACUAGUAGAAAAGGUUGCAAUUCCUAUUUUGCAUCAUGAAAUUGCCCACUGUUGGGACGUGCUCCGUACAAAA
rnacentral:misc_RNA from 1 species